GCAGAGUAGACACAUGUGCGUUAAGUGCCGGAUGAACAGGGAGUUGUCACCCGGACGAAAAGAAAAUCUUGCGGUACAUGAGUCGCAUCCCGCUGC
rnacentral:ncRNA from 10 species